CCCCUGAGUUCCUCAGGGGUUCAAGGGUAACUUAUCACCAGAAAAACUCCAGCGUCUCCAGGCCCAGAGAGUCAGGCUGGGAGCCCGCAGCCAUCCAUGAAGCCAGCUCCAGGGAGGUCUGGCCUUGAGCCUGCCCCGGCCUUAUCUCCGAGAGGAUAUGUUCUCGCCCUACUCCAAGUGUUUGUCCAGAAGACCAAGGCCCAGGCAGGGUCCCGAAAAGGGAAGCGACACCCUUCAGUGAUGAGAGGGAAGCGUCCGCAGCCCAGCCCUGGCAGAGUCACGGAGAGAACGGAUGGGGCUCCUGGCACAAGGACCCUGCGUCUUCUGUCCCCUCCCUCACUCAGACCCUCCCACAGGGUGCCCUCGCCAUCCCAUUGACCUUCAGGCUGUGAGGGUGGCCUUUGGGUUCCCCGCCUUGGCCCCUGGCCACCUGCACGUCCUGCCCCUCCUCCCACUCCCAGGCGCCUCUGGGCCUCCGCUCAGGCCGUCAAACCCAGCUCCACCAGGCCCCGGCCGUGUGCCCUUGGACAAGUGCCGUCUCCAGAGCCUCAGCCCCCUGUUUGCAAGAGCUUGUGAGCUAAAGCGUGCCAGGCCCUGAGUGCGAGGCUGGGAUGAACUGGCAUUCCUGCUGGCUCUGGCCUCUGGGACAGCACCUCCUCCAGCUCACUGCCCUCCACCCUUCCAGCUACAGCUCCCUCCGGUGCCCCAGAACCGCCCGGCACUCCGGGGCUCCCAGGUUCAUCUGGGCAUGACUCCGCCCUCCCGACAGAGCCCUCUGCACACCCCCUCCCCACCCUGGCCCAUCGCAGCUCUUCACGAAGACGCUUCAUGGAAUGGGUGAUUUUCCUAAGCACUUUUCUUUCCAUGAUCUCAUUUGGUCCUCACAGCACCUGGAGGAGGGCAGACAGGCUGUUGCUCCAUUUUACAGAUUUUCCAGACCAGGCUUUCUGAGAGGCUGUUAAUGAGCCAAACCAUUCUGCUAACCGUCGUUUUCAGAAGGGCCACCCGGCUCACGGUUCUCUUUAUUCAGGCAAAGCCAUCAAGACCCCGGGUCUUCCUCUGUGGCCCAGGCUGGAGUGCAGUAGCGCAAUCUCGGCUCACUGCAACCUCCACUUCCCGGGUUCAAGCGAUUCUCCUGCCUCAGCCUCCUGAGUAGCUGGGAUUACAAGCUCCUGCCACCAUGCCCAGCUAAUUUUUGUAUUUUUAGUAGACAUGGGGUUUCACCAUGUUGGCCAGGCUGGUCUCAAACUCCUGACCUCAAGUGAUUCACCCUCCUCGGCCUCCCAAAGUGCUGGGAUUAGAAGUGUUAGCCACCGCACCUGGCCUAUUCAAAAAAUUCUCUAUGGAGCUUCCACCAUAUACAAGGUAUGGACAAGCAGGAACUGAACACACACAGCCCUGCCCACCCGGCGCUGACAGCAGGAGAGACAGACCAUGCGACUAUCGAAGAAACCAGAGCCAGAAAAUAGGUGAGCAGUAAAAGCAGAUUUUAUUGAGGAACUGUUGAAAUGAGAGAAGAGACCUCGGUGUAGACCUGGGCUCUGGUCUGAAUACAGCGGUGAUGAGUGGGGAUGUCACCUGGAGCAGAGGUUCAGUGGAUGGAAAAUGGCUAAGAGGAGGUCAGGCGCAGUGGUUCAUGCCUGUAAUGCCAGCACUUUGGGAGGCCGAGGCAGGUGGAUCACUGGAGGUCAGGAGUUCAAGACCAGCCUGGCCAACAUGGUGAAACCCUGUUUCUACUAAAAAUACAAAAAUUAGGCAGGCUUGGUGGGACACACCUGUAAUCCCAGCUACUUGGGAGGUUGAGGCAGGAGAAUCGCUUGAACCUGGGAGGCGGAGGUUGCAGUGAGCUGAGAUCGCGCCACUGUGCUCCAGCCAAGGUGAUAGCGCGAGACUCCGUCUCAAAAAAAGAAAAUGACUAAGAGGAAGCAUUAGGUGUGGGGGGAAGUUCUGGCUAAACCGAUGGAACAGGACUCUCGCCGAAGGCAGGCCAGGUGAACAGACACCCCCGAGGGGCAGUGCCAGGCGAGGAACUGCUCACGCGUCGGGGGUCGGGGAGUUUUCCUAAUUGACUCUGGGUUCUUGCUAAAACUGGAAAAAGCCAAGACAAGUGCAGAAGCCCCCAGGCCAAGGCCUCCUGGAGAAGAGGGUUUGGAGGAGCCUGACCAAAGCUUGAUCGAGGAGAGGGUCUUUGUCAUGAUUACUGGGGGCUCUGACCCCGUUUAGGAAGACGGGGACUGUGCCCAUGAGAUCUGAAGGGGGAAGGGCGUUCUUGAGGCAAGAAGGCUGGGGUGGAAUUCCAGACAAAGGCAACAGCACAGGGGCAGGGUGAGUCCAGGUCUGGAGAGAUGGCCUGCGGCGAGGCCCCAUGCAUCCCAGGGAAGGUUCCGGAACACCCUGCACACGCACAGUCUCCACCAUCCUCUCUAGGCCUGGCCUCGCAUCAGACAGGGCCCUUGUGAGAGCUGCCUCAAAUGUGACAUUUCCACCAGAGCCCCGGCCCCCGUGCCCGCCUUGCCAGCCUCGGCCUGUGGGGGCUGCCACUCUCCACAGGUCCUCGUCCCUGUCGGCCGAGGGCAGCAUUCCCGCAGCGGGGAACGAUCAGCAGAGAUUGGGAAAUAGGGUAACUUGUUCCAGAUGUCCGGAGCAAAUCCAGGCCUGGCUUCUCUAAGGGACUGUUUGGCUUUCUGAAGUUUACAAACAGCAGGAUGAGAGGCCCCUCCUGAGAGGCGGCCAGGACCCCCCGUGUGUGAUCAUGUGCGUGAGGGGGGCUCAGGGCUGCGGAAUGCCAUCCAGUGUCACCUGAAGUCCACACACACAGCCUGGGGCCCACGUCCACGCUUCCCCACCCAGGGAUGCCGGCCUUGGGAAACCCCCUGUAGGACCAGCUGCCCCCGGCCUCUGGAGGCGUUUGGCAGGUGGGAGGUGUCUGCAAGAGACUGGAGAGGGCUGGAGGAGCUGAGUCGCAUCCACUCCCCCAAUUCCCUCUCUGCAGGGCCGCAUGGGCCAGCUGCGUCCCGUGUCCCCAACCUUACCCUCGGGCCUCAGUGCUGGGCGCUCCUGCCGUUGCCGGCCCUGGUGCUGCCCGUGCGCCGCCUGCGGUGUCCCGGAGCCCACGCAUCCCUGCACCUUUGAGCACAGUCCUUUUCCUGAGCGCUCCCUAAAUUAUCCCAACUCAAGUGUGACUUCGGGGCCUGCUCUUCCCAACCCCCUUCCCCAGUAAGUGGCUUUUGCCUGUGCCUUGAUGAACACCUGAAGCGAGACCCAGAGACGCUCAACUCCCCGACAGCCCUGGUUCCAAACCGGAGCUGCAGCAGUUGCUGAGCGCGGCUCCUUCACGCCUUCCUGCCGUGAGCGUUCCUCACCGCCGAGGCUUCCUCCUCCUGCUCCCAAACCGUGUCCACUUUUAGGAGGGGACUUUCUAGAACGUGCUUCCGAACGGUACCUAUGUGAUGAGGGGCUGAGCAUGAAAUAAAGACAAGGGCAUGAGUGUAGAGGCCAGGCAGACCUGACUCGCCCCUCACUCCCCAGGACCCGGACCUCUCUGGAUCUGCAUCCUCCCCCUAGUAAAAUGGGAGACACACCGCUAUCCAGACAACUGGGAUUCCUGGACCAGACUUUUCUUUUGAGGUGAGCACACCCGCCCCGCAACCCAGAUGGACUAGGGUGACCUUCUCCCCACCCCACUCGCACCUCAACAGGCACAUUUCCCCAUCUGCCCUUGGGCUGAGUGACACAGUGGCUGGGCCAGGGAUGGUUUGACACCGCAGGACAUGUCAGCGUAUUUUUCCAACAUACUCUCCGCCUGACUCAUUCAGUGGGAGACACUCACAUGAGCUCCCCGCCCGAGAGGCCCUCUGGCACCGCAGACCCAACACAUAAACAGGUCCUCUCUCCUUCCAGAAGCUUCUGGAGCCCAUUGUGCUUUAGAUUCAUCCACCCUUCCUCCAGACGCUGGGCAUCUCUCUCCUCUCCUCUCCUGCUGACCCCACCAUUCGGAUGGCGCCUGUCACCCUAACUGUCUGCACACCCCAGGUUCCUCCCCACCCCACCCCUCUGCCCUCCUUUUUGUCUGAUUUGCCAACUGGUCCUCCUGGUUCUGCCUUGUCCACUGUGGUGUUUUGUUUUUAGGGUUUUAAAACUAAUUUAUUUAGGUGAAAUCAUAUAACAUAAAAAUAACCAUUUUAAAGUGAUCAAUUAAUUGGCAUUUGGUACUUUUUUUUUUUUUUUUUUUGCAGCCUCAACCUCUUAGGCUCAAGCAAUCCUCCCACCUCGGCCUCCUAAGUAGCUGGGAUUAUAGACACAUGCCACCACGCUUGGCUGACAUUUUGUAGAGACAGGGUUUUGCCAUGCGUCCCUGGCUGGUCUUGAACUCUUGGGUUCAAGACAUCUGCCCGCCUUGGCCUCCCAAAGCACCAGGAUUACAGGCAUGAGCUACUGCCCCCAGCAGCAUUCAGUACAUUUACAGUUUUGUACAACCAGCACCCCUAUCUAGCUCCAAAACACUUCCCUCAUCCCACAGUGAAACCCCAAACCCAUUAAGCAGUUUCUCCUAAUUUCUGUCUCCCCCAGCUCCUGGCAGCCUCCAGUCAGCUUUCUGUCUCUAUGGACUGGCCUGUCCUAGACAUUCCUUAUCAAUGGAGUCACACAGUAUGUGGUCAUUUCGUCUGGCUUCUUUCACUUAGCACCAUGGCAUCAGGGUUCAUCCACAUUGUAUAACCUGGAUCGGUGUUUCAUCCCUUUUUUUUUUUUUUUUUUUUUAAUUUAUUUUGAGAUGGAGUCUCACUCUGAUGCCCAGGCUGGAGUACAAUGGUGCGAUCUUGGCUCACUGCAACCUCUGCCUCCCAGGUUCAAGCGAUUCUCCUGCCUUAGCCUCCUGAGUAGCUGGGAUUACAGGUGCCCGCCACCACACCUGGCUAAUUUUUGUAUUUUUAGUAGAUGGGGUUUCGCCAUGUCAGCCAGGCUGGUUUUGAACUCCUGACCUCAAGUGAUCUGCCCACCUCAGCCUCCCAAAGUGCUGGGAUUGCAGGCUUGAGCCACCACACCCGCCUGUUUCAUCCCUUUUUAUGGCUGAAUAAUAUUCCGUCACACAGACCACAGUUGUUUAUCCAUUCAUCUGUUGGCGGACUCUUGAGUUCUGUUCACCUUCUCGCUGUGGUGAAUAGUGCUAUGAACAGGUAAGUGUUUGAUACCUGCUUUCAAUUCUUCUGGGCCUAUACCUGGGAGCAGCAUUGUAGGGUCAUAGAGUAACUAUGUUUAACUUUUUGAGGAAUGCACUGUAGCAGUUUAUCUUUUGUAUUUUGUUUUUUAGAGACAGGGUCUUGCUCUGUCGCCCAGGCUGGAGUGCAGUGGUGUGAUCAUAGCUCACUGCAGCCUCGACCUCUUGUUUUUGUAGAGACAAGGGUCUUGCUAUGUUGCCCAGGCUGAUCUUGAACUUUUGGCCCUCAAGUCAUCCUCCCACCUCUGCCUCCCAAAGUGCUGGGGUUACAGGAGUGAGUCAUUACACUCAGCCCACUGUGGCAGUUUUAAAAUAUGUUCUCACGUUCUUUGACCUCCUCCCUUUAAAAGGUGGAGCCUAAUUCCCAUCCCCUUAAGUAUGGAUCACACACAGUGGUGGCUUCUAACAAAUAGAACAUGGUGGGAGGGAUGCUAUGUCGCCUGUAAGGCUAGUCUUACAAGGGCCAGCCUGUGGCUGGCUCCCCUCUUUGCUCCCUCACUCUGGGGAAGCCACAGCCAUGUCGUGAGGAUGCUCAGACAGCCCAUGGGAAGGCCCACGGAGAAGGCAACUGAGGCCUCCUGCCAAGGCCAACGCAGACACGGCAGUCGUGGGAGUGGCCACCCUGGAAGUAGGUCCUCUGGUUGUGAUGAAGUCCUCAGGCCAGCAUCCUGACCCCAGGAAACCCAAGUCACAACAGCCCCCACUGAGCUAUUCCCAAAUACCUGGUCCACAGAGACCAAGACAGACAGCAAAUGUUUAUGACUCAGUUUUAGGGUGACAUGUUCCACAGCCAUUGAUAACUAAGACACCCACCCCCACCCAUUCUUCCCACAGCAGCUGGAACCGUCCCAUCAAAGAUCUCUCCCCAUUCUACCAAAAAUCCUUCAUGGCUCUUAUGGUUUCUGGAACAAAAUCCAGAUUUCUCGUUCUGACUCACAUGGCCCCAACUUAUCCCUCUGGGCUUGUCUCUUAUCUUCUUCAGACACACACACCCCAACUUUAGGCUCCUGGAAGGAAUUUUCAGGUUCCCCUAAUCACAUUUUGUAUGUCAAUCUUGCCUGGAAUG
rnacentral:lncRNA from 10 species